UUUAUUGCAUCCUUUGCCUACAAAGGAAAAAGAAGGGUUAAAGGGUUGAUAAUAGAAUAGGAAAGGCAGAGGACCUUCUUAACCCCGGCACUCCUCUUCCACCACGACGGGUCACCCGUUUCUUCCCCCCUCCUGCCGGGAACUUUAUCGUCGUUGAUGGCAAGAAGGAUAUCACUGAGAAGGGGAAAGCCCGUUCCGGUGGCGCACAGGCAGCACUGAUGCGAACCGGCAGCCGCAGAAAGGCAGCAAGGGGAGGAGAAAGCAACGCAGCAUCCAGCUAUCUGCUAAGGAGAAGUUUUCGGACGCCUACAGGAGAGUCAGUGAUCA
rnacentral:lncRNA from 1 species